rnacentral:rRNA from 1 species
GAUGAACGCUGGCGGCGUGCCUAACACAUGCAAGUCGAGCGAAGCACUUUGCUUGGAUUCUUCGGAUGAAGAGGAUUGUGACUGAGCGGCGGACGGGUGAGUAACGCGUGGGUAACCUGCCUCAUACAGGGGGAUAACAGUUAGAAAUGACUGCUAAUACCGCAUAAGCCCACAGAACCGCAUGGUUCUGGGGGAAAAGGAGCAAUUCGCUUUGGGAUGGACUCGCGUCCGAUUAGCUGGAUGGUGAGGUAACGGCCCACCAUGGCAACGAUCGGUAGCCGGACUGAGAGGUUGAUCGGCCACAUUGGGACUGAGACACGGCCCAG